rnacentral:snRNA from 1 species
AUACUUACCUGGCAGGGGAGAUACCAUGAUCACGAAGGUGGUUUUCCCAGGGCGAGGCUUAUCCAUUGCACUCCGGAUGUGCUGACCCCUGCGAUUUCCCCAAAUGUGGGAAACUCGACUGCAUAAUUUGUGGUAGUGGGGGACUGCGUUCGCGCUCUCCCCUC